UUUGUACUUGUGUUGCCUUUGCUCUGUGAUAUAUGUUGAAAAGUGAAGAAGAAAAAAAAAAAGAGAAAAAGUUUUCGUAGAGCUUUCUAUUUGGAUACCUAAACAGCAUAAGAUGUUGGGUUUUAGUUCUUUUUACAAAGUUUUGUUGCACUGUUAAAAGGUUUAUUGCACUGUCAGUAUCUUCUGUUGUUGUUUGGUUCUCUGUUGUUCUUUGACUAAAACCUUAGUGGUCAGUUUGGCCCUUAUAUGCUCGUUCUCUCGUAUGAGGAGUCAUCUCAAUUUAGGAAUCUCCAAACCAGAAGAGGUUUCAGAUGAUACAGUGAAAGCUGUGGCUGCUACUUUAAAGAAUUCUACUUUUCUUAAGGUUUCUGAAGAUGGUAAGAAGAUUGGUAGGGCUACUGAGCUUUGCCGCUAGAUGAGGUCAUAGAACAAUCAAACAGUAGGACAAUUGCCGCAUCACCCCUAGAGUAUGAUGUCAAGCUUGAACAUGUGGAAUCCUUCUUUGGUCAGUUUGCCAAGGUUAAUAAUGUGAGGAUGCCUCGCCAUAUUGUAGACAAAAGGUUAUUUUGUGGCACUGCUUUGGUUGAGUUCUCAACUGACGAAGAUGCGGCUAGCACAUUUCUUGCUUGCACCAUGCUUCUCUACUUCACCUUGCUUAAGCCCCUUUGAGGCACCAUAGGCUUGCCUCACCUCUCGCAUAGUGUCUGCUCUUUAUGCCUUCAAUGAAACUAUAAAUGAGGACCCACUUAUGGCUUUGUCAAAUUGGAAUAAGCACUUCAAGGAUCACAUGACGAGGAUCACAUGAAAAUCGGACAUGUCAGCCGAUAUCAAGUGAGGAAGCUAUUGAAACUGCCAAGCUUCUUGCAUUGAAAGAAGGUUUGCUGGUAGGAAUAUCAUCUGGUGCUGCUGCGGCUGCUGUAAUUAAGAUAGCUAAUGGAAAACUC